GGAAGUAAAAGUGUAACAAGGUUUCCGUAGGUGAACCUGCGGAAGGAUCAUUAUUGUAUAACCGAGGUGCGAGGGCUGUCGCUGACCCGAAAGGUCGUGCACGCCCGAGUGCCCUCACACACAUCCAUCUCACCCCUAUGUGCACCACCGCGUGGGUCCCCCUUUGGCUUGUUCGGAGGGGGGCUUACGUUUUCACACAAACUUUGUAUGCAGUGUAGAAUGUAUUUUUUGUUUUUGCGAUCACGCAAUCAAUACAACUUUCAACAACGGAUCUCUUGGCUCUC
rnacentral:misc_RNA from 1 species